rnacentral:rRNA from 1 species
GACGAACGCUGGCGGCGUGCCUAAUACAUGCAAGUCGAACAGUGGCGGACGGGUGAGUAACACGUGGGUAACCUACCCAUCAGAGGGGGAUAACACUUGGAAACAGGUGCUAAUACUGGAUAGUGGGGGGUGGGCUCGCGGCCUAUCAGUUUGGUGGUGAGGUAGUGGUCACCAAGGCGUGACGGGUAGCCGGCCUGAGAUGGCGACCGGCCACACUGGGACUGAGACACGGCCCAGACUCCUACGGGAGGCAGCAGUGGGGAAUAUUGCACAAUGGGCGAAAGCCUGAUGCAGCGACGCCGCGUGGGGGAUGACGGCCUUCGGGUUGUAAACCUCUUUCAGCAAGGAAGCGGUACUUGCAGAAGAAGCGCCGGCUAACUACGUGCCAGCAGCCGCGGUAAUAC